AGAGUUUGAUCCUGGCUCAGGACGAACGCUGGCGGCGCGCUUAAUACAUGCAAGUCGAGCGAGAACCAUGGCUUCGGCCAUGGGGACAGCGGCGAACGGGUGAGUAACACGUGGGUAAUCAACCCCCGACACCGGGAUAGCCCAGGGAAACUUGGAUUAAUACCGGAUGCCCCAUCUGGCUUUCGAGCCGGCUGGAAAAGGGUAGCUUCGGCCUCCGGUCGGGGACGAGCCCGCGGCGGAUUAGCUUGUUGGUGAGGUAACGGCUCACCAAGGCGACGAUCCGUAGCUGGUCUGAGAGGACGAUCAGCCACACUGGGACUGAGACACGGCCCAGACUCCUACGGGAGGCAGCAGUAGGGAAUCUUGCGCAAUGGGCGAAAGCCUGACGCAGCGACGCCGCGUGAGGGAAGAAGGCCUUCGGGUUGUAAACCUCUUUCAGGAGGGACGAAGCCCCUCGGGUUAAUAGCCCAGAGGGUGACGGUACCUCCAGAAGAAGCCCCGGCUAACUACGUGCCAGCCGCCGCGGUAAUAC
rnacentral:rRNA from 1 species